UACGUAGGGUGCGAGCGUUGUCCGGAAUUAUUGGGCGUAAAGAGCUUGUAGGCGGUCUGUCGCGUCUGCCGUGAAAAUUCGAGGCUCAACCUCGAACUUGCGGUGGGUACGGGCAGACUAGAGUGUGGUAGGGGAGACUGGAAUUCCUGGUGUAGCGGUGAAAUGCGCAGAUAUCAGGAGGAACACCGAUGGCGAAGGCAGGUCUCUGGGCCACUACUGACGCUGAGAAGCGAAAGCAUGGGGAGCGAACAGG
rnacentral:rRNA from 1 species